rnacentral:rRNA from 1 species
GUCCGCAUUGUAAUUUGUAGAGGAUGCUUUGGGGCAGCCGCCUGUCUAAGUUCCUUGGAACAGGACGUCAUAGAGGGUGAGAAUCCCGUAUGUGACAGGACAUGGCACCCUAUGUAAAGCUCCUUCGACGAGUCGAGUUGUUUGGGAAUGCAGCUCUAAAUGGGAGGUAAAUUUCUUCUAAAGCUAAAUACCGGCGAGAGACCGAUAGCGCACAAGUAGAGUGAUCGAAAGAUGAAAAGCACUUUGGAAAGAGAGUUAAAAAGCACGUGAAAUUGUUGAAAGGGAAGCGCUUGCAAUCAGACUUGUUUUGACUGUUCGGCCGGUCUUCUGACCGGUUUACUCAGUCUGGACAGGCCAGCAUCAGUUUUGGCGGCCGGAUAAAGGCCCAGGGAAUGUGGCUCUCACUUCGGUGGGAGUGUUAUAGCCCUGGGUGUAAUACGGCCAGCCGGGACUGAGGUCCGCGCUUCGGCUAGGAUGCUGGCGUAAUGGUUGUAAGCGACCCGUCUUGAAACACGGACCAAGGAGUCUAACAUCUAUGCGAGUGUUCGGGUGUCAAACCCCUGCGCGUAAUGAAAGUGAACGGAGGUGGGAACCGCAAGGUGCACCAUCGACCGAUCCUGAUGUCUUCGGAUGGAUUUGAGUAAGAGCAUAGCUGUUGGGACCCGAAAGAUGGUGAACUAUGCCUGAAUAGGGUGAAGCCAGAGGAAACUCUGGUG